CACGAUGCCAUCCUUGAGCAGGUGGUCCUGCGGUGUGUAAGAAAGCAGACUGAGCAAGCAGAGAGAGCAGAAAACAUAAAAGAAGACAUGAUACUAUCACCAGAUUUUUAUGAUGUCAAAGUUUCUCUGUGUUGACCUGCCUGGCCUGGAACUCCCUCUGUAGACCAGGCUACCUUUGAACUCACAGAGAUCUGCCUGUCUCUGCCUCCGCAUGCUGGGACUGAAAGUCUCCUGGUACUAAAAGAUGUUCCAGAAGCCUCUGGAUAUUGACUACGCAGCUCAAAAUCAGCCAUGCCCCAAGGAGAAGGGCAGAACGGAAACUGCACCGGUUAGUUGUUACUGCCAAGCUGACACAGUGUAGUGUUACCUGACAAGGUAUCUUAGAAAAGGCAUUGGCCGGCUCAGACAGGCCUUUGGC